CCCUUAGAUGUUCUGGGCCGCACGCGUGCUACACUGAGUGGAUCAGCGGGUCAGGUUGCGCGAAAGCGUUUCCUAAUCUUUAAAUCCGCUCGUGAUGGGGAUUGACGGUUGCAAUUUUCUGUCAUGAACGAGGAAUACCUUGUAAGCGCGGGUCAUCGUCCCGCGCUGAAUACGUCCCUGCCCUUUGUACACACCGCCCGUCGCUCCUACCGAUUGAGUGGUCCGGUGAGGCUUUGGGAUCUGAGCGGAAAGAGCGUUUCGCUGUUUCUGCCCGGAAAACUCAGUCGAACCUUAUCAUUUAGAGGAAGGAGAAGUCGUAACA
rnacentral:rRNA from 1 species